rnacentral:lncRNA from 1 species
CCAUAUAUACAAUUUUACCGUCCCCCACUAAUUCAUAAGUCUUGAAAGAAUUCCAGUUACAUGAUAUGUGACGAGUUAGGCCGGUAUCUAUCCACUAUUCCACUUGAUCUUCCGCUACAAAUGCUUCUGUGACCAUUGCCACAAGAUCAUCAUUUUAUUUUUAUUUGCUUUUUCUUUCUUUUUUUCGGCUUUGAGAAUUCUACACACGCGCAUAGUGACCAACUUUGUGACAAUGAUAGCAUUCACCAAAUUUAAAAUUGACCCAUUACACUUAAAAUUUGUAGUCUUCUUUGCCUUUGAAAAUUUUUUAUUUUCAGGUUUCUUCUUCUUUGAUUUUUCUUCAACCAUAUGAGCUUUCAUGAAAAGUUCCUUCAAACUAUUAUUAUCGAGCCAUCGUGUCUCUUGUUCAAUUUGCAAGUGUUGCAACAAUUGUUCAAGAGUCAAAUCUUCCUUUUUGUGUAAUA